AUUCGGAUGCACUCGGAAGGAUGGACAAGCCGGUGCAGGUGAGGUGUUUCUGGGCUACGACCUUGGCGUACUCUCGCUGAGCGUUUUCCAGUGGUCGCAGUAUGCGCUUCCGUGCCGACAUUGGGAGCUUACGCUCGAGAUUGUUUCAUGUGAGACCUGUUAUUCCCGCUGGGCAGAGCGUUCGCACGACAGUCGCAUCCAACGUGACACAUCGAGCAGACGCCCCUGCACACGAGGGUACUUUAUAGUCGUUCUGUCUCCGCGCGGUGCGCACAGCAAGCACUCGGCAUUCAGAGGGUCGUACGAACGGACCACGACCCCCAAAGGCAAGUCUGGGUGACGGCUGCUGGCCCGCUGAGCUCUAGCGCUGGUUGAUGCCUGCUUUCCUAGAUGUCGAUAGCUGACGCGCACUCGAUGCUCCCUGCAUAGAUAUAACGAGCCUGCACAUUGAAGACUCCAAGGUAGCUCAGCGCUGGUGAUAAUGGAAUUGGUCCUGAUAAUAUGCCUCUUGUCUGGAGGCGUGCGUCGUACAACUCGUCUAUGGAAUGCACGCAUAUCUGGAUCGGUCUCUUUCAUGGUGUUUACAUCUGUCCACAAUGGACGCUAUACGAUGCCACGUGCGCUGCGCUUAUCGAAUCCAUAACUCCACACGAAUUCUGGGGUGCUUGCCUGCCUGCCUGCUGCCGGUAACCAGGGAGCAGUCCUCCGUUUCUCUGCGGACGAUUCCGGAGUUCACGCGCUCCGGUCCACGAUGUCCAUCUAAAAUCGCGGCUCGAUGGAUCCAGCAAUGUUGUGGGUACCGAGCCUGUCGAGGGCGUUCGUCGCGGUGACGGAUACGACAACGCAGUUUCCGUGUGGAGACGGCAUCGCCGACGACGACGACGACGCCAUAUGGGCAUGCGGCACCUCUAGUUGUAUGCGCUGCCGUCAUUCCACCCAGACAGCUAGGUGCAUUUCUGCAUAGGAACGUUGCGUGCUCGUUUCAAACCGUGGUGCAUUACGCGCGGACGCUCCUCCCGAUGCGAUCAAAAAGGCUGUCGCAUUCACGAUACCUGCUGGAUCUAUGGUCAAUCGGUGAGCGCGCUCUGCCCACCGGAAUCGAACAGGUUCCUGCAUGAACGAUGCGUGGUGGACACGUCGCAAGCGGAACAGAUCAUGUGGAUUAGUUUCCAGGGGUUCAAUGCAGGUUUCAGUGGGCGCGUGGCCGUCCGUUCGCGCCCAUGCCAAAGCGAGGAGCUGCUGGUGUCCCGUGCGCUCACGAUGCAAGCCUCCACAAACGAGACGAAGCUUCACGGCGCGAAACGCAUGUUUAUAUGGCCUGUUAUCGCCAGAGGUCUGGAAACAGACGCUGUCGAGCUCGUUGCACAUAGACGAGAUCCUCGCCGGGGAAGCGUUCAAGGAACCAUUCCGGAGUACGUGACGGGUCACCGAGUUGUCUCCUCCGGGUCGCUCGAUAAUAAUGGCAUUCAUAGAGUUCGCGAUUCUUUCGUCGAUCAAAAAUGGUGCUUCCCGACGGAUACGGCGGCAUAAUGAUAUCGAGCAUAGCGCACGGCUCUCGAACUGCAACGAGCUCGUGAAUAUUGCCUCCAGACCUGGGGUAAAGCGCCCAGGCGUCACCAGCUUCGCGCUCUGAGCGCUGAAUUGUCGACUCUGCCCAGCCUCCAUUGCAGUGCAUCCAUUCCAACUCUUCGUAGUUGGUGUAAUGAUCCGUCGCAAAAUCAAACGCGCGCAUAACAAGUGAGCCCCAGAGCACACGCGAGACGACCACCAUUCCAAAGUGGUCAUGCAGUGGCAAGUACGCUCCCUUCGGCAGGUAAAAUACCCCGACGGAAAAUA
rnacentral:misc_RNA from 1 species